AAUAUUUGGGCCAAAAUUAUCAUGGAUCAGUCCGUAAAUAGGGGUUUGAAGGACUCGAUCCUUAGUGCAGGUGGCAUGUUGCCAUUGGUGGGGAAAGUAUUGGUCGCUGAUGAAAGGAACAAAGAGUUCGAUGUCCAUGUCAAGGAGAUGAAGAUCGUCUGGGUUCUCGCCAAGCUUUUGAGUUUCCGAUCGAAUUGCCACCUCGUCGCCUCCGAUCCGAGGAAGAAAAUACUUUGUUAAAGUUUCUAAAGACCCGACGAGAUUCUUUGUGUUCAAAGCUGAGUGAGCUAUUGGAAGCUAAGGUCUAUGUCAGCCGAAACAGAGUCGUAGCAGCUUCGAAAGGAAGAAUUUGCCUCCUUUGGGCUAUACAGAAGUGAUUGAUGUUGAGAUUGUUGAGAACGUUGCGGCUACGGAAGAGAGUAGUGAAAAGGAAGAGUCUUUAGACGAUGCCAAUCCGAGAGACUCCUUGACCAUCUUGGUUACACGAGAGACUCCUUGACCAGUCUCUCUCUCUCUAUCUUUCUUUUUGUUCAAUUUGACACUGAACAGACCAAAGCAGCUGAAUGCUCUCUCCUUCCAAAUGGAUAACUCUGUUUUUGAGAAGAUGUCAACCGUAUCCAAGACUACACCAAGAGACAAGAAGGUUGUGAAUGAUUCACACAAGGCACCAAGCAUAGGUGAAACUACUGGUGGUGCUUACAAUCUUCUUUUGGAGACCGUUGAGUCAACCAGUCCCUCAUCGCUUCACAACAAUGGCCGUUUCAGAAACAUUGAUGACUCGGAUUCAACCGGAGCCGACUGUGAUUCUGUCUCUAACAACGGUAGCUGGUCAGGCGAUUUGGAAGAUCACAAAGAGAAAGCAGCACCUUCCACAGCUACCGCGAAGCAAGAAACCAUCCCCGGAGCAGCUGAUAAAUGAUUAAGUUACAGAGACGCAACUGCAGAUGAAGAAUGUGAGUACUCUUGAUUUUGGAAGCUUUCUCUUUUGAUUUUGUUAGAACUAAUUAGCUUCUGUUGUAAUGGCAAGUGUGUGUGCAAUAGUUAGGAAUAUAUAGACAUAUCAAGAGUGAACUAAUUAGCUUCUUUUGUAUCAUCAACACUUAAGAACUCCUAAUUAAGUAACACCAUUGCACACACUUUUGUUAUAAGAAUCCUUAACUAUUUAAAAAAAAUAAAAAAUUACUUUAUUAAUCCUAAGGACUCUAACCACGAGUCCACCGUUGCACAUGCUCUU